UUGAACGCUGGCGGCAUGCCUUACACAUGCAAGUCGAACGGCAGCACGGGAGCAAUCCUGGUGGCGAGUGGCGAACGGGUGAGUAAUAUAUCGGAACGUGCCCAGUCGUGGGGGAUAACGUAGCGAAAGCUACGCUAAUACCGCAUACGAUCUAUGGAUGAAAGUGGGGGAUUCGCAAGAACCUCAUGCUCAUGGAGCGGCCGAUAUCUGAUUAGCUAGUUGGUGAGGUAAAGGCUCACCAAGGCGACGAUCAGUAGCUGGUUUGAGAGAACGACCAGCCACACUGGAACUGAGACACGGUCCAGACUCCUACGGGAGGCAGCAGUGGGGAAUUUUGGACAAUGGGGGGCAACCCUGAUCCAGCAAUGCCGCGUGAGUGAAGAAGGUCUUCGGAUUGUAAAGCACUUUAAGUUGGGAGGAAGGGUAGUAACCUAAUACGUUGCUACUUUGACGUUACCGACAGAAUAAGCACCGGCUAACUUCGUG
rnacentral:rRNA from 1 species